rnacentral:misc_RNA from 1 species
AAGGAUCAUUAAAGUUAUAGUCCCCCGGCCUUCUGGCCAGGGUCUUCUAUACCACCCUUUGUUUAUUACACCUUUGUUGCUUUGGCAGGCCUGCCCUCGGGCUGCCGGCUCCGGCCGGCGAGCGCCUGCCAGAGGACCUAAACUCUGUUUGUCUAUAAUGUCUGAGUACUAUAUAAUAGUUAAAACUUUCAACAACGGAUCUCUUGGCUCUC